rnacentral:rRNA from 1 species
ACGCGGGAAAUCUUACCGGGUCCGGACACACUGAGGAUUGACAGACAAAUAUAGAAAUUUUAUAUUUCUCAUAUAUAAAGAUGCUAGUUCUUUCAUGAUUAUGUGAUAGGUGGUGCAUGGCCGUUCUUAGUUCGUGGAGUGAUCUGUCUGCUUAAUUGCGUUUCAAUUUUUAUUAUGUAUACGUAUGACCCACGUUUACGCGUGCGAGUCUAGUAUGCUAUCAUUUGAAAGCAACGAACGUGACCGUAUCCUUUUAUUAUAUACGCACGCGUAUAUUUAUUCAUUAAAGGGACCGCUGUUUCUUUUUUUAAACCAGAGGAAGGUUACGGCAAUAACAGGUCUGUGAUGCCCUUCGAUGUUCCGGGCUGCACACGUGCUACAAUGAUUAUUUCAUUAAGUAUCUAC